rnacentral:rRNA from 1 species
GGGUUGUGAGGUUAAGCGACUAAGCGUACACGGUGGAUGCCCUGGCAGUCAGAGGCGAUGAAGGACGUGCUAAUCUGCGAAAAGCGUCGGUAAGGUGAUAUGAACCGUUAUAGCCGGCGAUGUCCGAAUGGGGAAACCCAGUGUGAUUCGUCACACUAUCGUUAACUGAAUACAUAGGUUAACGAGGCGAACCGGGGGAACUGAAACAUCUAAGUACCCCGAGGAAAAGAAAUCAACCGAGAUUCCCCCAGUAGCGGCGAGCGAACGGGGAGCAGCCCAGAGUCUGAAUCAGCUUGUGUGUUAGUGGAACGGUCUGGAAAGUCCGACGGUACAGGGUGAUAGUCCCGUACACCAAAAUGCACAGGUUGUGAACUCGAAGAGUAGGGCGGGACACGUGGUAUCCUGUCUGAAUAUGGGGGGACCAUCCUCCAAGGCUAAAUACUCCUGACUGACCGAUAGUGAACCAGUACCGUGAGGGAAAGGCGAAAAGAACCCCGGCGAGGGGAGUGAAAAAGAACCUGAAACCGUGUACGUACAAGCAGUGGGAGCACCUUCGGGUGUGACUGCGUACCUUUUGUAUAAUGGGUCAGCGACUUAUAUUCUGUAGCAAGGUUAACCGUAUAGGGGAGCCGCAGGGAAACCGAGUCUUAACUGGGCGUUAAGUUGCAGGGUAUAGACCCGAAACCCGGUGAUCUAGCCAUGGGCAGGUUGAAGGUUGGGUAACACUAACUGGAGGACCGAACCGACUAAUGUUGAAAAAUUAGCGGAUGACUUGUGGCUGGGGGUGAAAGGCCAAUCAAACCGGGAGAUAGCUGGUUCUCCCCGAAAGCUAUUUAGGUAGCGCCUCGUGAACUCAUCUUCGGGGGUAGAGCACUGUUUCGGCUAGGGGGUCAUCCCGACUUACCAACCCGAUGCAAACUACGAAUACCGAAGAAUGUUAUCACGGGAGACACACGGCGGGUGCUAACGUCCGUCGUGAAGAGGGAAACAACCCAGACCGCCAGCUAAGGUCCCAAAGUCAUGGUUAAGUGGGAAACGAUGUGGGAAGGCACAGACAGCCAGGAUGUUGGCUUAGAAGCAGCCAUCAUUUAAAGAAAGCGUAAUAGCUCACUGGUCGAGUCGGCCUGCGCGGAAGAUGUAACGGGGCUAAACCAUGCACCGAAGCUGCGGCAGCGACACGAUGUGUUGUUGGGUAGGGGAGCGUUCUGUAAGCCUGCGAAGGUGACCUGUGAGGGUUGCUGGAGGUAUCAGAAGUGCGAAUGCUGACAUAAGUAACGAUAAAGCGGGUGAAAAGCCCGCUCGCCGGAAGACCAAGGGUUCCUGUCCAACGUUAAUCGGGGCAGGGUGAGUCGACCCCUAAGGCGAGGCCGAAAGGCGUAGUCGAUGGGAAACAGGUUAAUAUUCCUGUACUUGGUGUUACUGCGAAGGGGGGACGGAGAAGGCUAUGUUAGCCGGGCGACGGUUGUCCCGGUUUAAGCAUGUAGGCUGGUUAUCCAGGCAAAUCCGGAUAAUCAAGGCUGAGGUGUGAUGACGAGGCACUACGGUGCUGAAGUAACAAAUGCCCUGCUUCCAGGAAAAGCCUCUAAGCAUCAGGUAACAUCAAAUCGUACCCCAAACCGACACAGGUGGUCAGGUAGAGAAUACCAAGGCGCUUGAGAGAACUCGGGUGAAGGAACUAGGCAAAAUGGUGCCGUAACUUCGGGAGAAGGCACGCUGGUGUGUAGGUGAAGUCCCUGCGGAUGGAGCUGAGACCAGUCGAAGAUACCAGCUGGCUGCAACUGUUUAUUAAAAACACAGCACUGUGCAAACACGAAAGUGGACGUAUACGGUGUGACGCCUGCCCGGUGCCGGAAGGUUAAUUGAUGGGGUUAUCCGUAAGGAGAAGCUCUUGAUCGAAGCCCCGGUAAACGGCGGCCGUAACUAUAACGGUCCUAAGGUAGCGAAAUUCCUUGUCGGGUAAGUUCCGACCUGCACGAAUGGCGUAAUGAUGGCGGGCUGUCUCCACCCGAGACUCAGUGAAAUUGAACUCGCUGUGAAGAUGCAGUGUACCCGCGGCAAGACGGAAAGACCCCGUGAACCUUUACUAUAGCUUGACACUGAACAUUGAGCCUUGAUGUGUAGGAUAGGUGGGAGGCUUUGAAGCGUGGACGCCAGUCUGCGUGGAGCCAACCUUGAAAUACCACCCUUUAAUGUUUGAUGUUCUAACGUUGGCCCCUUACCGGGGUUGCGGACAGUGUCUGGUGGGUAGUUUGACUGGGGCGGUCUCCUCCCAAAGCGUAACGGAGGAGCACGAAGGUUAGCUAAUCCUGGUCGGACAUCAGGAGGUUAGUGCAAUGGCAUAAGCUAGCUUGACUGCGAGCGUGACGGCGCGAGCAGGUGCGAAAGCAGGUCAUAGUGAUCCGGUGGUUCUGAAUGGAAGGGCCAUCGCUCAACGGAUAAAAGGUACUCCGGGGAUAACAGGCUGAUACCGCCCAAGAGUUCAUAUCGACGGCGGUGUUUGGCACCUCGAUGUCGGCUCAUCACAUCCUGGGGCUGAAGUAGGUCCCAAGGGUAUGGCUGUUCGCCAUUUAAAGUGGUACGCGAGCUGGGUUUAGAACGUCGUGAGACAGUUCGGUCCCUAUCUGCCGUGGGCGCUGGAGAAUUGAGGGGGGCUGCUCCUAGUACGAGAGGACCGGAGUGGACGCAUCACUGGUGUUCGGGUUGUCAUGCCAAUGGCACUGCCCGGUAGCUAAAUGCGGAAGAGAUAAGUGCUGAAAGCAUCUAAGCACGAAACUUGCCCCGAGAUGAGUUCUCCCUGAGACUUUAAGUCUCCUGAAGGAACGUUGAAGACGACGACGUUGAUAGGCCGGGUGUGUAAGCGCAGCGAUGCGUUGAGCUAACCGGUACUAAUGAACCGUGAGGCUUAACCUUACAACGCCGAAG